rnacentral:rRNA from 1 species
UACGUAGGGGGCGAGCGUUGUCCGAAGUUACUGGGCGUAAAGCGCGCGUAGGCGGGGGGUUAAGGGAGAGGUGAAAGGCUGGGGCUCAACCCCAUGCAGUGCCUCUCAUACUGGCCUUCUUGAGGGCGGUAGGGAGAAGUGGAAUGGCUGGUGUAGCGGUGAAAUGCGUAGAUAUCAGUCGGAACACCGGUGGCGAAGGCGGCUUCUUGGGCCGUUCCUGACGCUGAGGCGCGAAAGCUGGGGGGGCGAACGGG